rnacentral:rRNA from 1 species
AGAGUUUGAUCCUGGCUCAGGACGAACGCUGGCGGUGUGCUUCACACAUGCAAGUCGAACGAGGUAGCAAUACCUAGUGGCGGACGGGUGAGUAACACGUAGGAAUCUGCCUUCGAGUAGGGGAUAGCAAGCCGAAAGGCUUAUUAAUACCGUAUACGUACACGGUCGGACACGGCCGUAUAUGAAAGGAGUAAUCCGCUCGAAGAGGAGCCUGCGCCCGAUUAGCUUGUUGGUAAGGUAACGGCUUACCAAGGCGAUGAUCGGUAGGUGGUCUGAGAGGACGAUCACCCACAAUGGGACUGAGACACGGCCCAUACUCCUACGGGAGGCAGCAGUGGGGAAUUUUGCGCAAUGGGGGAAACCCUGACGCAGCGACACCGCGUGAGCGAAGAAGCCUUUUGGGGUGUAAAGCUCUGUCGGCUGGGAAGAAAAAAAUGACUGUACCAGCAGAGGAAGCAUCGGCUAACUACGUGCCAGCAGCCGCGGUAAGACGUAGGAUGCAAGCGUUGUCCGGAUUCAUUGGGCGUAAAGAGUUCGUAGGCGGUUUUUUAAGUUCGGAGUUAAAGAUCAAGGCUCAACCUUGGGACUGCUUUGAAUACUGAAAGACUUGAGUGCAGUAGGGGCGAGUGGAAUUUCCAGUGUAGCGGUGAAAUGCGUAGAUAUUGGAAAGAACACCAGUGGCGUAGGCGGCUCGCUGGGCUGUAACUGACGCUGAGGAACGAAAGCUAGGGUAGCGAAUGGGAUUAGAUACCCNNGUAGUCC